UCUGGCUUCGGCCCGAGUUGUAAUUUGCAGAGGAUGUUUCUGGCGCGGUGCCUUCCGAGUUCCCUGGAACGGGACGCCAUAGAGGGUGAGAGCCCCGUAUGGUUGGAUACCAAGCCUGUGUGAAACUCCUUCGACGAGUCGAGUAGUUUGGGAAUGCUGCUCAAAAUGGGAGGUAAAUCUCUUCUAAAGCUAAAUAUUGGCCAGAGACCGAUAGCGCACAAGUAGAGUGAUCGAAAGAUGAAAAGCACCUUGAAAAGGGGGUUAAACAGUACGUGAAAUUGUUGAAAGGGAAGCGCUCAUGACCAGACUUGUGCUGGGCAGCUCAUCCGGGGUUCUCCCCGGUGCAUUCUGCCCAGUUCAGGCCAGCAUCGAUUUUUGCUGGGGGAUAAGAACGGUAGGAACGUGGCCCUCCUUCGGGAGGGUGUUAUAGCCUACCGUACGAUACCCUAGCGGAGAUCGAGGUUCGCGCAUCUGCAAGGAUGCUGGCGUAAUGGUCAUCAGCGACCCGUCUUGAAACACGGACCAAGGAGUCGUCCAUUAGAGCGAGCGUUUGGGUGUAAAACCCGCACGCGUAAUGAAAGUGAAAUUAGGUGAGAGCUUCGGCGCAUCAUCGACCGAUCCUGAUGUUCUCGGAUGGAUUUGAGUAAGAGUUUUAACGGACGGACCCGAAAGACAGUGAACUAUGCUUGUAUAGGGUGAAGCCAGAGGAAACUCUGGUGGAGGCUCGCAGCGGUUCUGACGUGCAAAUCGAUCGUCAAAUAUGAGCAUGGGGGCGAAAGACUAAUCGAACUGUCUAGUAGCUGGUUACCGCCGAAGUUUCCCUCAGGAUAGCAGUGUUGACCUUCAGUUUUAUGAGGUAAAGCGAAUGAUUAGGGACUCGGGGGCGCUUUUUAGCCUUCAUCCAU
rnacentral:rRNA from 1 species